rnacentral:rRNA from 1 species
AUUGAACGCUGGCGGCAUGCCUUACACAUGCAAGUCGAACGGUAACGCGGGGCAACCUGGCGACGAGUGGCGAACGGGUGAGUAAUGCAUCGGAACGUGCCCAGAAGUGGGGGAUAACUACUCGAAAGAGUGGCUAAUACCGCAUGAGACCUGAGGGUGAAAGCGGGGGAUCGCAAGACCUCGCGCUUUUGGAGCGGCCGAUGUCAGAUUAGGUAGUUGGUGGGGUAAAGGCCUACCAAGCCGACGAUCUGUAGCUGGUCUGAGAGGACGACCAGCCACACUGGGACUGAGACACGGCCCAGACUCCUACGGGAGGCAGCAGUGGGGAAUAUUGGGCAAUGGGCGAAAGCCUGACCCAGCGACACCGCGUGGGUGAUGAAAGCCUUCGGGUUGUAAAGCCCUUUCGUGCGGAAAGACUGUUCCGCGGUUAAUACCCGCGGAAUUUGACGGUACCGCAGGAAGAAGCACCGGCUAAACUCCGUG